UAAUACGGAGGGUGCAAGCGUUAUCCGGAUUCACUGGGUUUAAAGGGUGUGUAGGCGGAUAUUUAAGUCAGUGGUGAAAUCUCCAGGCUCAACCUGGAAACUGCCAUUGAUACUAUUUAUCUUGAAUAUCGUUGAGGUAGGCGGAAUAUGUCAUGUAGCGGUGAAAUGCUUAGAGAUGACAUAGAACACCAAUUGCGAAGGCAGCUUACUAAACGAUUAUUGACGCUGAGGCACGAAAGCGUGGGGAUCAAACAGGAUUAGAUACCCUGGUAGUCCACGCCCUAAACGAUGAUUACUCGACAUACGCGAUACACAGUGUGUGUCUGAGCGAAAGCAUUAAGUAAUCCACCUGGGAAGUACGACCGCAAGGUUG
rnacentral:rRNA from 1 species